rnacentral:other from 1 species
AUAUCCCUGCGGUGUUCGCGACGGCAUAUAUUCCUUUGAACCAAUACGUUCGCUUAAGGUUGCCGAGAGUUUGCAGUGGGCGUGCGCGUCUUCACAGAUGAACCCGAAACUGCCCGUGGUGACCGCCUUGUCUACAAGGUUCAAGCGGAUUCAGCCGAAACGGCAUAUGCGGGGAUACC